CUUAAUAUCAAUUUCUCUCCUAAUAAAUCUAUAGAUGCAAAUUACUAUGGCAAGGAAUAGUGCCUCGAGAAAGUUUCUAAAACGGAAAUUUAAUAAUUCCACCCAUAAUCUUAACCUACCUACACCUCCCCCAAUAACAACUCCAUCUGAUGUCCCAUCUAAUAAUCCAAACCCUACAUUACUCAAUACCCUUCCGAACCCUACCUUAAUCAGUUUCACCCAACCCAACCCUACCUAUCCAACCAAAAAACAAAAGAGAAUAGAAGGAAAAAGAAGAUUUACAGACAGAAAAUAAAAGAUAGAAAAAUCAACAAUCAAAAAAAGAAGACUAACAACCACGUCACUUUCCACUGCACCAAAACCUGGAAAAUAAUAUAAAAAACAGUAAAAAUUUAAACAAACAACAAAAAAACAAUCUAUUCACAAUCCAUAACCUCUCAGGUAGACAAGACCUCCACUAUCAAAUCCCAUCAUGAAGACAUCCAAACCAAAUUAAACUCCAUCAAAUCCUUAAAGCAAGAAAACCAAGACAUCGACAGCAGAAUAAGUAAUAUCAAGAAAGAUCACAUCACAGCAACUACAAGCAAAUGUAACAACCUUAAAAAAUCCCACAACAACAAAGGACACGUUUUAAAGCAACACCUUUUCAAAUUAAAAUCCAACCUCAACCUAUUCAUCCAUUCCCUAGAUAACAGAUUAACCCUCGCUAACCACAAUAUAGCCAACCUCCUUGCUCAUGAAAUAGCCAACCAACAAAUCAUCCUUAAUCCAAGAACAACUUAAGUUAAAAACAACGAAUAAAAUCCACAAUUUCACUACCAUCAACCUACCCGAAGACGUAACAGAAAUUCUAAACAAAGGAACCAACUUCAUACCAACCUCGACAACUCUGAACCAAACUGAAUUAAAAGAAACCAUCUUCUCUGAAACCAACGCCACCCUCAUCCAAAUCAUCAACAAACCUGUCACCCCCAAAAACGCAAUUUCAUCCACAACUAAACCCAAACCCACAUCAACAUUUGACAAGAUAAAGCAAAAAAAGAAUGAAAACCCCAUACACAUAUUGGAACAAGAAAAAUGUAAACCAAACUUCAAUACCCACGCCUACGACUGUGUUUAUUCUACAAAUUACUAUGCCCAUUAAUUUUAAAAAUAUCAUACAAACAAACCUCUCUAAUAUCUCCUGCUUCUCUUCCCAGCUUUUACAAAACAACAAAGACAUUAAUGUUACACAAACAGACAAAAACAUGGGAUGGGCACUGCUACCUACUACCUGGUUUACAAACAAAUACAAACGACAACUACAAGAUACACGUACGUACCAACUAAUAGAAAAUUUUAACAUUGAACAACAUAUCAAAGACAGCAACAAACUCAUACUCAACAUGAAAACACGUUUCGCCAAUCUUAUUACCUGUAACAAACAUAAUCUACUAGACCCUUUACAACCCCAGAACACGUACAGUUACCGUACAUGAAACUUUUACCUAAAGUACACAAACUGAUCUCUACAGCCUCUCCUAACAACGUUACAGACUUAACCAGACGACCAAUCAUUACAGCACACUCUUGGACAACCUCAAACGUAUCUAGACUACUUGGCACAGAACUCGACAACAUCAUUUUACAACUCAAAAACCUUUUUAUUUCUAAAAAUAUCAAAUUUCCUUUAAUUUAUAAUUCCUCAGAACUGAUAGACUUUUUUCAAAAACAACACAUUACAGACAUCAACAACUUCCAACUGACCACUUUUGACUUUACCUCUCUCUACACCAAAAUAACAUUUCAAAACACUAUCAAUGCUAUCAUCUCCAGCUGCAAACUUCUUAAAUUUUCUCGUCUACAUCGUGACUUCCUACUCAACCUCAACAAUUUUAUUAACAAACGCAACUAUUUUUCUGUUGGACAAGACAUCUACAGACAAACACAAGGAGUUGCUAUGGGCAGCUAUCAUAGCAGACAAAUUGCAGACCUUGUACUUUUACUUAGUGAACUCAACUAACACUAACGGACUCUCCCUCUUUUCUAGAUACAUCGAUGACGACUUCAUGCUUACAAACAAUACACUAACCUUUAUUUCUUUCUAUAAUGCACAAAUUCCCAUAACAUUCGCUUCAAAUCAGCAUUCUGUUAACUAUCUUGAUCUUACAAUUUCUUUAAAUCACCACUCCAUCCUACAUAACAAAAUUCAUUAUCAAGUAUAUCAAAAACCAAACCACAAAUACAUGUACCCUCAUUUCUUCUCUAAUCAUCCCCAACACAUCUUUGCAGGCAUUAUUAAGACAGAAACUAUACGCUACAGCAGACUGUCUUCUACUAUCACCGACUACAACUACAUAUGAAAACUUCUUACCUUACGACUUAAAUCUUUAGGCUACCCAACAUUAUUGAUCCAACAAAACUCCUUUCCUUUUCUCACCCACAACCUUCACAAACAUAGAACGAACAGCUCAAUCAAACAGAAACUUCGAA
rnacentral:lncRNA from 1 species